AUGGUUACCCACAAGGUUGAUAACUGCCCUGUUAGAAGGAAGCCGCAUAGCUCUGCUAGAUAUGUGGGAAGUGCUGCACCAGGGUUAGGGUUCUAUCACAUAGACCCACCUGAUGAAAAUGCUCAGUAUCAUGGUUCUUUGAAGAAUGUGGGGAUUAUUCUAGUUGAGGCUGGUGAAGUGACCAAACAGGAGCUUGCCACUGAGUUUGCAGACAUCUAUAAAACCAACUGGCCCUGGCCAAUCAAUGCCCUGGAUGAAUGGACAUUUCUGGCCAAAUUCCCACCUGAGAUAGAUGUAGUUCAAGUUGCUGGAUACCCAUGCUUUGGCCUCAAGAAAGACAAUGUUGUAGUUAAUGUUGAAGUCUGGAAAGGCAAGAUUGAGGCUGAAGAGGAUCUCCAGGAAACUUGGAUCAAAAAUUAG
rnacentral:rRNA from 1 species